UACGUAGGGUGCAAGCGUUAAUCGGAAUUACUGGGCGUAAAGCGUGCGCAGGCGGUGAUGUAAGACAGUUGUGAAAUCCCCGGGCUCAACCUGGGAACUGCAUCUGUGACUGCAUCGCUGGAGUGCGGCAGAGGGGGAUGGAAUUCCGCGUGUAGCAGUGAAAUGCGUAGAUAUGCGGAGGAACACCGAUGGCGAAGGCAAUCCC
rnacentral:rRNA from 1 species